UUGGAGGGCAAGUCUGGUGCCAGCAGCCGCGGUAAUUCCAGCUCCAAUAGCGUAUAUUAAAGUUGUUGCAGUUAAAAAGCUCGUAGUUGAAUUUCGGGGUCAGUAGGUUGGUCAUGCCACUGGUAUGUACUGGUCUCACUGAUUCCUCCUUCCUGAUGAACUGUAAUGCCAUUAAUUUGGUGUUGCAGGGAAUCUGGACUGUUACUUUGAAAAAAUUAGAGUGUUUAAAGCAGGCUAACGCCUGAAUACAUUAGCAUGGAAUAAUGAAAUAGGACGUUCGAUCCUAUUUUGUUGGUUUCUAGGAUUGACGUAAUGAUUAAUAGGGAUAGUUGGGGGCAUUAGUAUCCAAUUGUCAGAGGUGAAAUUCUUGGAUUUAUUGAAGACUAACUACUGCGAAAGCAUUUGCCAAGGAUGUUUUCAUUAAUCAAGAACGAAAGUUAGGGGAUCGAAGACGAUCAGAUACCGUCGUAGUCUUAACCAUAAACUAUGCCGACUAGGGAUCGGAUGAUGUUAAUUUUUUAAUGACUCAUUCGGCGCCUUACGGGAAACCAAAGUGUUUGGGUUC
rnacentral:rRNA from 1 species